UGGGUAAUCUGCCCUGCACUUCGGGAUAAGCCUGGGAAACCGGGUCUAAUACCGGAUAUGAGCUCCUGCCGCAUGGUGGGGGUUGGAAAGUUUUUCGGUGCAGGAUGAGUCCGCGGCCUAUCAGCUUGUUGGUGGGGUAAUGGCCUACCAAGGCGACGACGGGUAGCCGGCCUGAGAGGGUGAUCGGCCACACUGGGACUGAGACACGGCCCAGACUCCUACGGGAGGCAGCAGUGGGGAAUAUUGCACAAUGGGCGAAAGCCUGAUGCAGCGACGCCGCGUGGGGGAUGACGGUCUUCGGAUUGUAAACUCCUUUCAGUAGGGACGAAGCGAAAGUGACGGUACCUGCAGAAGAAGCACCGGCCAACUACGUGCCAGCAGCCGCGGUAAUACGUAGGGUGCAAGCGUUGUCCGGAAUUACUGGGCGUAAAGAGCUCGUAGGCGGUUUGUCACGUCGUCUGUGAAAUCCUCCAGCUCAACUGGGGGCGUGCAGGCGAUACGGGCAGACUUGAGUACUACAGGGGAGACUGGAAUUCCUGGUGUAGCGGUGAAAUGCGCAGAUAUCAGGAGGAACACCGGUGGCGAA
rnacentral:rRNA from 1 species